rnacentral:lncRNA from 1 species
AAAGAUUUGAGUUCUAUAACAAAAGAAUGCACAGCUCAAAACCUAAGAAAAAAAAUUAAACUGAAGUGUAAAAAUCUUAAGUUAAAGAGAAAAUUAAAGAGCCACAAUCAAAAGUCGAGCAACACUGCAAUGUUGGAGUUGAAUAAAAAAAACCAGUCCAAAAAAAGAAAAGAUUAAUUGAUGAUUGGGGUCUAGUUCAGCGUUGUCAAGUAGAAGUGUUGUUGGUGCCCAGGCGGCGUGUCAGGAUCUUCAAAGAGAGAGAACAAGGGUUGUGUGCCUGGUUGGUGGUAUGAUGUAGAUGGUGGGAGGGUGGUUCUAUUGGCCCUUGAAUCCUCUUCUUAUUCGCUGCAAUCUCCUUCGUCUCCCUCUCCUCAGUCUUUUAGCCUCCUCCAUUUCUCUUUUUGCAGUGGCGUGUUCCUCAAAGAGAGAGAACAUGGGUUGCGUGGUUGAUAGGGUGACUCUGUUGGCUCGUGAACCCUUUUCUUAUUCGCUGCCAUCUCCUUCGUUUCUCCUCGGUCUUUUUGCCUCCUUCGUUUCUCCUCUCCUCGGUCUUUUUGCCUCCUUCGUUUCUCCUCCUGCAAGCCCUUUUGGUUUAGAGAAAGCUGUGGCGUAAUAUAAGAAAAAUAAAUUAAAAAAAAUAAACUCCAUAAAAACCCCAAAAUAAACUUCCAGAAUAACCAAGCCUUCCAAAUUAAUAAGCCUAAAAUCGUUAUAAUCCACAGUAAAUAUAGUGUAGAACCACAACGCACACAUAGUUUUUUUUUUUUUAACUAAAAAAUAAAAAUAAAAUAGAAA